CGAAUGCUGACAUAAGUAACGAUAAAGCGGGUGAAAAGCCCGCUCGCCGGAAGACCAAGGGUUCCUGUCCAACGUUAAUCGGGGCAGGGUGAGUCGACCCCUAAGGCGAGGCCGAAAGGCGUAGUCGAUGGGAAACAGGUUAAUAUUCCUGUACUUGGUGUUACUGCGAAGGGGGGACGGAGAAGGCUAUGUUGGCCGGGCGACGGUUGUCCCGGUUUAAGCGUGUAGGCUGGUUUUCCAGGCAAAUCCGGAAAAUCAAGGCUGAGGCGUGAUGACGAGGCACUACGGUGCUGAAGCAACAAAUGCCCUGCUUCCAGGAAAAGCCUCUAAGCAUCAGGUAACAUCAAAUCGUACCCCAAACCGACACAGGUGGUCAGGUAG
rnacentral:rRNA from 1 species